rnacentral:rRNA from 1 species
UAGGUAGGUGGUAAUAAAAGUCUGGGGUGAAAUCCCUGAGCUCAACUCAGGACGUGCCUUGGAAACUUUAUUACUAGAGUGCUGGAGAGGUCCGCAGAAUUCCCGGUGUAGCGGUGAAAUGCGUAGAGAUCGGGAGGAAUACCAGAGGCGAAGGCGGCGGACUGGACAGCAACUGACACUCAACUACGAAAGCGUGGGUAGCAAACAGGAUUAGAUACCCUGGUAGUCCACGCUGUAAACGAUCGGUACUAGAGUUCGUGGGAGUUGACCCCUGCGGACUCGGAGCUAACGCGAUAAGUACCGCGCCUGGGAAGUACGGUCGCAAGACUAAA